rnacentral:rRNA from 1 species
GACGAACGCUGGCGGCGUGCUUAGCACAUGCAAGUCGAACGGAAAGACCCUGCUUUUGUGGGGUGCUCGAGUGGCGAACGGGUGAGUAACACGUGAGUAACCUGCCCUUGACUUUGUGAUAACUUCAGGAAACUGGGGCUAAUACCGGAUAGGAGCUCCUGCUGCAUGGUGGGGGUUGGAAAGUUUCGGCGGUUGGGGAUGGACUCGCGGCUUAUCAGCUUGUUGGUGGGGUAGUGGCUUACCAAGGCUUUGACGGGUAGCCGGCCUGAGAGGGUGACCGGCCACAUUGGGAAUGAGAUACGGCCCAGACUGCUACGGGAGGCAGCAGUGGGGAAUAUUGCAAAAUGGGCGGAAGCCUGAUGCAGCAACGCAGCGUGCGGGAUGACGGCCUUCGGGUUGUAAACCGAUUUCGCCUGUGACGAAGCGUGAGUGACGGUAAUGGGUAAAGAAGCACCGGCUAACUACGUG